AAAUUUUAAAUGGCCGCAGUAUUUUGACUGUGCAAAGGUAGCAUAAUCAUUAGUUUCUUAAUUAGAAGCUUGUAUGAAAGGUUGAAUGAGAAAGUUACUGUCUCUAUUUAAAUUUAUUAGAAUUUUAUAUUUAAGUAAAAAAGCUUAAAUACAUAUAGAAGACGAGAAGACCCUAUAGAGUUUGAUAUUAUUAUUAUUUAUAUCUUUUAGUAUUAUAAUUAUAUAAUUAGUUAUAUAUUUGAUUGGGGUGAUUAAAAAAUUUAUUGAACUUUUUUUGUAUUAUUUCAUUAAUUUAUGAAUUAUUGAUCCUUAAUUUAAGAUUAAAAGAAUAAAUUACCUUAGGGAUAACAGCGUAAUUUUUUUUAAGAGUUCUAAUCAAAAAAAAAGUUUGC
rnacentral:rRNA from 1 species